rnacentral:rRNA from 1 species
GACGGAGGGUGCUAGCGUUGUUCGGAAUCACUGGGCGUAAAGGGCGCGUAGGCGGCCUUGCAAGUCGGUUGGUGAAAGCCCGGGGCUCAACCCCGGAGGUGCGGCCGAGACUGCAGGGCUGGAGGCCGGAAGAGGAGGGUGGAAUACCCAGUGUAGAGGUGAAAUUCGUAGAUAUUGGGUGGAACACCGGUGGCGAAAGCGGCUCUCUGGUCCGGACCUGACGCUGAGGCGCGAAAGCGUGGGGAGCAAACAGGAUAGAUACCC